GGUGAACGCUGGCGGCGUGCCUAAUACAUGCAAGUCGAGCGAACAGACGAGGAGCUUGCUCCUCUGACGUUAGCGGCGGACGGGUGAGUAACACGUGGAUAACCUACCUAUAAGACUGGGAUAACUUCGGGAAACCGGAGCUAAUACCGGAUAAUAUAUUGAACCGCAUGGUUCAAUAGUGAAAGACGGUUUUGCUGUCACUUAUAGAUGGAUCCGCGCCGCAUUAGCUAGUUGGUAAGGUAACGGCUUACCAAGGCGACGAUGCGUAGCCGACCUGAGAGGGUGAUCGGCCCCACUGGAACUGAGACACGGUCCAGACUCCUACGGGAGGCAGCAGUAGGGAAUCUUCCGCAAUGGGCGAAAGCCUGACGGAGCAACGCCGCGUGAGUGAUGAAGGUCUUCGGAUCGUAAAACUCUGUUAUUAGGGAAGAACAAAUGUGUAAGUAACUAUGCACGUCUUGACGGUACCUAAUCAGAAAGCCACGGCUAACUACGUG
rnacentral:rRNA from 1 species